rnacentral:rRNA from 1 species
GACAGAGGUCCCGAGCGUUAGGCGGAAUCACUGGGCUUAAAGCGUGUGUAGGCGGAUCGUUAAGUGCCUUGUGAAAUCCCAUGGCUUAACCAUGAACUGCUUGGCAUACUGGCGAUCUUGAGCCACUUAGGGGCAACCGGAACAAAUGGUGGAGCGGUGAAAUGCGUAGAUAUCCGGAAGAACACCGGUGGCGAAGGCGGCCUGCUGGGACAUGGCUGACGCUGAGGCGCGACAGCGUGGGGAGCAAACAGG